GGUUCCUAUAUGAUCACCAAAGUUAAGCAACGUUGAGCCUGGUUAGUAUCUAGAUGGGUGACCACUUGAGAAUACCAGGUGCUGUAAG